rnacentral:rRNA from 1 species
GGAAUUGUUCGCAAUGGGCGCAAGCCUGACGACGCAACGCCGCGUGGAGGACGAAGAUCUUCGGGUCGUAAACUCCUGUCGAGCGGGAAGAAACCCGCGGGGAUGAAUACUCCCUGCGGCUGACGGUACCGCUAAAGGCAGCCCCGGCAACCUCCGUGCCAGCAGCCGCGGUAAUCAGGGGGGGGCAAGCGUUGUUCGGAAUUACUGGGCGUAAGGGGCUCGUAGGCGGCCAACUAAGUCGGAUGUGAAAGCCCCAGGCUCAACCUGGGAACUGCAUCCGAUACUGGAUGGCUUGAAUCCGGGAGAGGGAUGCAGAAUUCCAGGUGUAGCGGUGAAAUGCGUAGAUAUCUGGAGGAAUACCGGUGGCGAAGGCGGCAUCCUGGACCGGCAUUGACGCUGAUGAGCGAAAGCCAGGGGAGCAAAC